AUUGAACGCUGGCGUCAGGCUUAACACAUGCAAGUCGAGCGGGGUGAUGGUGCUUGCACUAUCACUUAGCGGCGGACGGGUGAGUAAUGCUUAGGAAUCUGCCUAUUAGUGGGGGACAACAUCUCGAAAGGGAUGCUAAUACCGCAUACGUCCUACGGGAGAAAGCAGGGGAUCACUUGUGACCUUGCGCUAAUAGAUGAGCCUAAGUCGGAUUAGCUAGUUGGUGGGGUAAAGGCCUACCAAGGCGACGAGCUGUAGCGGGUCUGAGAGGAUGAUCCGCCACACUGGGACUGGGACACGGCCCAGACUCCUACGGGAGGCAGCAGUGGGGAAUAUUGGACAAUGGGGGGAACCCUGAUCCAGCCAUGCCGCGUGUGUGAAGAAGGCCUUAUGGUUGUAAAGCACUUUAAGCGAGGAGGAGGCUCUUUUGGUUAAUACCCAAGAUGAGUGGACGUUAUUCGCAGAAUAAGCACCGGCUAACUCUGUGCCAGCCGCCGCCGUAA
rnacentral:rRNA from 1 species